rnacentral:tRNA from 1 species
GCCUAUCUGGUUUAGUUGAUAGAACAUGUGACUCUUGAUUUCGGGGUUGUGAGUUCAAGUCCCAUGUUGGGUG